rnacentral:rRNA from 1 species
AAGAAAGUAAAUAAGGGCGCAUGGCGGAUGCCUUGGCUCUCGGAGGCGAUGAAGGACGUGAUAAGCUGCGAUAAGCUUCGGGUAGGUGCAAAUGACCUUUGAUCCGAAGAUUUCCGAAUGGGACAACCCGGCAUUCUGAAGGAAUGUCAUCCAACUUGGUUGGAGGCUAACGCAGGGAACUGAAACAUCUUAGUACCUGCAGGAAAAGAAAAUAAAUAAUGAUUCCCCUAGUAGUGGCGAGCGAACGGGGAUUAGCCCAAACCACCCAUGUUACGGCAUGUGUGGGGUUGUAGGACCACGCUCUCGCAAGACAGUUAUUGAGAAGAAACGACUGGAAAGUCGUGCCAUAGACGGUGAUAGCCCGGUAUUCUAAGGUAACCGAAGCGUAGUGGUAUCCUGAGUAGCGCGGAGCACGAGGAAUUCUGCGUGAAUCAGCCGGGACCAUCCGGUAAGGCUAAAUACUCCCGAGAGACCGAUAGCGAACCAGUACUGUGAAGGAAAGGUGAAAAGCACUUCGAAUAGAAGAGUGAAAUAGUCCCUGAAACCAUGCGCCUACAAGCGGUCGGAGCAGCUUCAGCUGUGACGGCGUGCCUUUUGCAUAAUGAACCUACGAGUUACUUUUUCCGGCAAGGUUAAGCAUCUUGAGAUGUGGAUCCGAAGCGAAAGCGAGUCUGAACAGGGCGGAUAGUCGGAAGGAGUAGACGCGAAACCAAGUGAUCUACCCUUGGGCAGGUUGAAGGUUAGGUAACACUAACUGGAGGACCGAACCGAUAAGCGUUGAAAAGCUUCCGGAUGACCUGAGGGUGGGGGUGAAAGGCUAAUCAAACUUGGAGAUAGCUCGUACUCCCCGAAAUGCAUUUAGGUGCAGCCUUGAGAGUUACUAAUGUGAGGUAGAGCGACUGAUAAGAUGCGAGGGCUUCACCGCCUAUCAAGUCUUGAUAAACUCCGAAUGCGCAUUAGUUCUAUCUCAGGAGUGAGGGCAUGGGUGCUAAGGUCCAUGUCCUAAAGGAGAAGAAUCCAGACCAUCAGCUAAGGUCCCCAAAUAAACACUAAGUUGAACUAACGAAGUCAGAUUGCUAAGACAGCUAGGAUGUUGGCUUGGAAGCAGCCAUUCAUUUAAAGAGUGCGUAACAGCUCACUAGUCGAGGAGUUUGGCGUGGAUAAUAAUCGGGCAUAAGUGUUUUACCGAAGCUAUGGGAU